ensembl:lncRNA
CCAGCCAAUGCUGUUUUGCUAGGACUGUUUGACCAGGUGGGGCAGUGACUGUUCUAAAAGGGGAUCAACCUGGACCCCAGGACCAAGACCAGCUGAGCCAGUCGCCGGAGAACGGAGGGCGGGUGCAAGGGCUUCCCUGGAGGCUCAGCUGCUAGAGAAUUCGCCUGCAGUACAGGAGACCCCGGUUUGAUUCCUGGAUCAGGAAGAUCCCCUGGAGAAAGGAUAGGCUACCCACUCCUGUAUUCGUGGACUUCCCUGGUGGCUCAGCUGGUAAAGAAUCUGCCUGCAAUGCGGGAGACCUGGGUUCAAUCCCUGAGUUGGGAAGGUUCCCUGGAGAAGGGAAAGGCUACCCACUGCAGUAUUCUGGCCUGGAGAACUCCAUGGACUGUAUGUAUCGUCCAUGGGAUCUCAAAGGGUCGGACACGACUGAUCGACUUUCACUUGUGGCCAUGAGAGGGUUUGCCUGGAAGGGAACCCAAAAUAGGGAACAGCCCCCACUGUCUUCCUUCUGUUUUUUUUUUUUUUCCUUCCCCCUCUAUAAACAAGUGAUUAAUGCCUUGCAAAAAAGCCCAGACACACCUUCCCUGCUGCAAGCGAGCCCCUGCCAGAUUCCCCAGCCUUAAUUCUGCUGUUAACACUCGUCAGGGGGAGGGGUAAAGAGUAAAUCCCCUCCUUCAAGAAGCAGACCUGGGGGCAAUGUGGUUUGUUUAAAGUCUCCUGUGUGCUCUGAUGGCGUGAGGACUUUGACAUGAAAAAUGAAAGCAGAAACAAUGCACUUUUCCCUAAAGCAGCUUCCAGUUUGUAAACCUUCUCUGCUCAGGAUUCUCCCAAACCGACCUUCCCUUCUCCCAGCGCUGGUGAAAAGUAGGGGGAGAUGGGGGGUGGGGGGAGGGUCCCACGGAUCGAUCAACAUUUUCAGAGAGCUUCACAGGCUCCUUUUUCAUUUUGUUUGCAAGAGGCAAAUUGAAUUUCCUGACUGAAUGCAGAAAUAAAUUCCUUACACCUGAAACGAACACAGCAUUGUAAAUCAACCGUAUUCCAAUAAA